AUGGAGGCCCUGCUGCUGAUUGUGAAUAAAAAAAGGAAAAGUAGGCUAUAUCCGGUUCACCAGCGGCACUUUCAUCAAUUAAUUGAUGAUGUAAAGUAAUUAAAUGCCUCAUAACUGGAUUGAAUAUGAAUUUAUUUUAUGUCUCAGAAGCGUGCUAGCUGUUCCUUAAAAAAAUAAAAUAAAUCUUGUCCAGUUAGCAGAUCCGACUCUUCACUGCGAAGCCUCCGAGUGUGCCAUCUCAGCAGCCCCUGGAAAUGUGAGCAGAGCUAUGGCUUUUCUCGUUUCUCAUCCUGUGAGGAAGUUUUCUCCACAACAAGUGGAUCCUGGAAGGAGACGCUCGGGUCCUUACAAGCAGUCUGCGGAUAGCCCAGAUGACCUUGUCCCUGGCCACCUGGUCCCUGGCCGCCUCGUCCAGCUCAUCUAGGGAGACACAAGGCCCACGCCAGCUGACAGAUAUCUCUGAAAGCUUUGCUUUCUCUCUGAGGAGUAUCAGCUCUACUGAGUCACUCCCGAAUGACCAAACUCCUCACCCUAUCGCUAAGGAAGAGCCCACCCAGCUCUCGAAGGAAGCUCGUUGCCAGUUCUUCUACCUACGAUCUCAUUCUUUCAGUCGCUAUUCUAAGCUCGUUGCCAUAGAGUGAGCGUAGGAAUCAGAUCGCCUGGUAAAUCGCCAGUUUGAGCUCAGCUUUCUUCCCCACAAUAGACUGACACAGUGUCCACAUUACUGCAGACAUGACACCAACCUCCCACUUCAUUCUCCCCUCACUCCUGAGCAAAACACUGAGUUACUUAAGCUCCUCCACUUGGGGCAGGAGCCCGUCCCUGACCCUUUUCCAGUUAAGAAACAUGGACUUCUCAUUCCCACUCCUUCACACCUGACUGCAAACUGGCCCAGUGUGAGCUGGAGGUUACCACCUGAUGAAGCCAAAGGGACUAAAUCAUCUACAAAAAGUAGAGGCAAGGCCGCUGGUUUAUAAGUAGAAAUUCUCUCCAUUAAAAAUGAUGAACAUAACUGGAGACAAAGGGCAGCCUUGGCAGAGUCGGACACCACCAGGAGUUUAUUUUUAAAGGGCUGACCGUAUCGACAGGAUAACCAAAACUGUGAAGAUCCUCAAAAGUUUGGAGCAAGAGCCUGAAUUAAAUUCUGAAAGCUACUAUGAGCAAAUCUGAUUGAGGCUGGUUGCUGGAUUGAUGACGAUCCCUGUGAUGGAUUUAUUGAAGUGUAGAUUUACAAGUUCUGAAAACAGAAAACUGCUGGAGCAAAGAACUGCCGUCUUCCUCGUCUCUGUCAGGAGUCACUCUCUGCUCUGCCUGGUGGUUUCACACAAAUCAAAAGCAACGAGAGGUGUCCGUGAAUUCGGAGGCACGGAGGUGGAGUUCAUCUGGCGUAAUAAAAGUAAGCUGGGAGGAAAAUGUGACAGAUGUGGAGGCCUGUGCCAACGAGAAAAGCGAGAGUGGGACUGUCAGACAUGUCGACUCCGGCGUGGUGAUGGAUGAAGAGUGAGGUGUUGGAGCCGUUCCUCAAAAAUUUGGGUCAUGAUGGCACGUGAGUCUCCUGUCCCACUACAUCCCAAAGGUGCUCAACUGGUCGGGAUCUGGUGCCUGUGGAGCCCAUCGUGGAGCCAGUUUGGACGAGCUGAGCUUUGUGGCACGGGAUGUUAUCCUGCAGGAAGCAGCUAUCAGAAGCAGCCAGGCAACAUUUUUCCAAUCGUUCAUUGUUUGGGUCUGUGCCAGGACGGCUACUGUAGCUCGCUCCCUUCCAUUACCUGACACACAGGAGCUGCAGCUCCCGCCCAUAAAGGAACCUGACUAUAAAAGGAGUCCAGCGGGAUCUGGACUGGUUUGGCAGUUCCUGGGUCCAAACCAAAGGACAACCGAGUGCAGUCAAGGAGAGAGGUUACGGACUCUCCGAUGGGUCUUUGGUGUAGAGCUCGACUGUUGCCUGUCACAGGUUUGUGGGUUAGAGAUGCAAGAUUUUUGGACGGCCAAUCAGCACGGUACUCGAUGCCCACACAGACCUGAGGACAAUCCCAUGGAAAUGAGCAUCUGCAACUGAAUUACGGAAAGUAAAGUGAACACACGGGCUUAUCACGAGCACGUACAGUAUGUUAUCCACGUCAUCAGAUGAAGUUGCCGUGGAAACAGAAGUCAGGCUUUAUUUCUCUUGGCAAGCAUGUGAAAUUAGGAAGUGCAGUCAUAGAUAAGAACAAAAUAAAAGUCGGUGUUGCCAGAAUAUUUUCACCGGUGGCCUGAUUUUUAAAGAGCAUGUCAUUUCUGAUUUUAUGAUUAACUUAUUUAAAGAUUUUAUUUUUGAUGUAUUAAGGUCACUGUAUUCAAGUGGAAGCAUGUAAACAAACCAACAAACUCGUUACAAUUAUUGCUAAUUAAGACACUGACGAACUCUCAGGUGCACGCACCUUCAAAUGCAACACCACCAUCUAGUGGUUGUUAUAAUAGUUGUGCACAGGACUUGUGUUGGGCUCCUGCAGUGGAGAGAUUUGCAGACUCGCAUGUGCAUUUUUUUAAUUUGUUAUAAACUCUGAAUGUCUCCUCUGCAUCAAGAGAAAGUGAUAAAAAACUGUAAAUGUAUAGAAUUGUUUCUUUUUCUGGCUUCUUUCAUUGAUUUUUUAAUUUAGGGCAACACCUAAUAAGUCCUCUAACAUUGGCCUGAGGAUUUCAAUUUGGUUGCAUGGCAAGAAGAAAAUGGUAGAAAAAUAGCAGCAUUAUUAAUUCUGAGUUUAAUGUUGGGAUUCGUCUGAAACUGCGAUGUUAAAUUUAUAUAAAUAUAAAGCAAAGCAGCCAACGCCACGAAAUGUCUCGUCUUAUCUGAUAAAUGAAAGAAAACCCCGAGCCAGACUGAAAAGUUUGUACCUUUUUAUUAGUCACUUUGACAAGUGGUACAAUACAAGGAUUUAUGACACUGUGCUAUCCCCCAAAAGGCUUUUAAUUUGAAAUAAAUAGUAAGGAAAACAUUCAAUGGAGACGGUUAGUAAUCUAAAAAAAUGGCAAAAUGUAUAUGAAAAGUUCCUUUAUCAAUAAAACAAGUAAAUAUAAAAACAUAAGAAGUCAUAUUAACACCUUGCAUUACCCCGUAGUCUAUCACACGGUGCUGAUUACACCAGAUAUCACACCCAGUCUGUGGUACAUUGCUUUACAUUGUAUACAGUGUGCUGCAGCUACAUGAAGAAGAAGACCCUAAACCCACAAAUGUACCUAUUACACAUGCAACAAAAGUUGAUGCUGAGUGCAAUCUACUUCUGUAAACUGCACCUACACCACUCGUAUGGUUCCAAUUAGGCCCCAAAUAUUUCUCGUCUUUACAUCUGUAACAGGUCAUCCAGCAGGGCUUUUCUUUCCCCUUCCAGUUUCACAAGAAUACAGACGAGGAAACAGAAACGGCGUAGUCUCCAGUGGAUGCUCAGGAGAACUCCUUUAUUGAACAACCUGAAAUUCUAGCUAUCUUUGGGGUAAUGCCUUUGUGUUUAGUCUGAGAGAAAGAAAGGCACAGUCUGCAGAGCAGGAUUAGACACAAGAGUUCAGACGAAGUGCUUUGUUGCUGAACUCCUCUCGAGGGAGCAGAAAGUAGCGCACACUGUUGCAGUUUCUUUUCCGUUACAUCAGACAGACCCCUUUUUUUUUCCCCUCUGGGAGGCCGAGCCUGCAGCUCCUGAACCCAUGCACGAGGGGUGAAAUGAGAAGACCACAGCUGCAAGUAACAGGAAAAAACGAAACAGAAAAAAAAAA